CUCCCAGACCCUCCUACUUCCUGGACAGCAUCCAUGUUGAAACUUGGAUGCUGUCCAGGAAGUAGGAGGGUCUGGGAG
rnacentral:miRNA from 1 species